GCCCCGGGACACGCCGGCAUCGGGCCCGGGAUGGGGCCGCGAUCAGCCGCGGCCCCGCCGGGAAUUUGCUUGGCACACAGCGGGAUCGCCCCCGAGACCGCCGCGGCCACAGCGGGCACCGGCACCGGGAUCAGCCGCAGCACCGCCGGGAUCCCACCGGGAUCAGCCGCAGCACCGCUGGCACUUUCUUGGGACUGUACUGGGAUCAUUGCAGGGAUCGUCGGGGGCGCGCCAGAAUCAGCCUGGGUGUCACUGGGAUCCCACCGGGACCCAGGAAGGGGUCAGCGGGGCGCACCGGGAUCAGCCGUGGGAUUGCGGGGAUCUCCUCCAGGUCAGCCCUGCACCACCAAGGUCUCCUCCAGGUCAGCCCCGCACUCCCAGGAUCACCAGGAUCAGGCACGGCAUCACUAAAUCUCCCCAGGAUCACCAGGACUGUACCAGGCUGACCCCUGGGAUCACCAGGGCCACACCAGGUUCAGCCACGCUAUUCCCCGGAUCUCAGCAUGAUUCCCCUGGGGCCACAUCAGGAUUAGCUGCAGGAUCUCCUUGGGAUCACCCCUGGGAUCCUCAGGAUCUCCCCAGGAGCAGAUGGGAGAUCGCCAGGGCCACACCCAGGUGAGCUGCAGGACUGCCAGGAUCACCAGGGCUACACCUGGAUCACUCACGGAACAGGCAGGAACUUCCCGGGAUCUCUCAGCAUCACACUGGGAUCACCCUCAGGACCACACCAGGAUCAGCAGCACCCCCAGGAUCACACCCUGAGAUCACUCCUGGACAGCAGCACCCCUUGGCACCAGAUCCCUGGGGCUGUUCCAGGCCCCAUUUGCCCUAAAAAUCACUAAAACUCCUUUUUUCAUUUCCCAGGUCAUUUCCCAUCUUUCCAGUCCGUGGGAGAGCUCCUCCAUGGAAUGGUGCCGGAGCACUUCAGGAGACCCAGCUGCUUCUGGGAUGCCUGUUCACAUGGAAUCUUCCAAACCACCUUUACAGAUUCCAAUAUUGAGAUUUGGAGGAUUUUCCCAGUUUUGGGAGCAUGGUGUGGGCAGGAGGGACCCACAGGGAUGAGGUGGGAAGCAGAGGAGGGGUAGAUAUAGGAGAGGACAAAGGAAAGUUUAGUUCCAGUCGUGUGGAAGCUUUUUCCUGGGAAAUCCAGCCUGGCCUGAAUUCCCAGCAGCUUUUGGAACCUCUGGAAUUGGAUCAUGACAAGGAAAAGGUGAUUUCUGGGAUGUUCUCCAAUGCCUUCCCAGGAGCCAGGUGCUGUUAUGGGGACAGAAGGAAGCUCCAACAAAUUCAAACAAACUGAGCCCAUGGAUCCAUUCCUUUUCCCAAAUCUCCAUGGAACUGGGGGUGGCCUGGGGAAAAUCUGGGAUGCCUGAAUUCAGGAUGCUCCCACCAUGGCCGGUGCUGGUUUUGGCAGGAGGAUGUUUCUGACAGCUGGGGGGUGCUGACUUUGGGGCUUUCAGCAUUCUCCUCCCAGAUCCCAAAUCCUUCUGAGCGAGCUGGAGGGGCUCAUCCUGGAGAAGAGGAGGCUCAGGGGGCACCUUCUGGCUCCUGCAGUUCCCUGGAGGAAGGUUGGAGCCAGGAGAGCCUGGGCUCUGCUCCCAGGGAACAGGACAAGAGGGAAUGGCCUCAAGGGCAGGUUCAGGCAGAUCCAACAGGCCAAGCCAUGACUUGCUGCUCCAAUGGGAACAAGCCCAGGAGAGCUGCAGCUCCAGCACCAGGAGAGUGGGAAUCAGGAGCAGCCUGGGUUACCCACAGCAACUUCUGUGCUCUGAUCCUGCCUUUUCCAGAGGCUCGGGAACACAAGUGGUGCUGUUGGAGCUGCCUGGCUCGUGUCCUGUCCAAACAACAGCAUCGAUCCCCAGUAACUCCUGCCUGCCCAAAGGUUGCGUGGUUCACUUUUCCUGCUGUUUAUUUUCACAAAUCGAUGGUGGACGCAAGCAGGAGGCACUUCCUGAGGGGAAUGCUGGGAUCCAGGCUAUGUGAUGGGCAGGAGGGAUAGGGCUUUCUUCUUGCCAGCAGCAGGCACCAGUCCGGGUUUCCUGUGCAUGUUCCGGAGAGUCGCCAUGGUGCUGCUGAAGGUUUGCUGGGAACAGGGAACACAAAGGGAUCACUGAGCUCAGCUCGGCUCUCAGAGCACACUUCUCACCUGUAAAAACUUUUUUCCUGAAAAAUGAAACCAAAUGCCUUCUCAGA